rnacentral:rRNA from 1 species
AGAGUUUGAUCCUGGCUCAGGACGAACGCUGGCGGCGUGCUUAACACAUGCAGGUCGAACGGAAAGGUCUCUUCGGAGACACUCGAGUGGCGAACGGGUGAGUAACACGUGGGUAAUCUGCCCUGCACUUCGGGAUAAGCCUGGGAAACUGGGUCUAAUACCGGAUAGGACCACGAGAGGCAUGUCUCGUGGUGGAAAGC